ACUCCUACGGGGAGGCAGCAGUGGGGGAAUAUUGCACAAUGGGCGCAAGCCUGAUGCAGCCAUGCCGCGUGUGUGAAGAAGGCCUUCGGGUUGUAAAGCACUUUCUAGUAGGGAGGAAGGUAGUGUAGUUAACACCUGCAUUAUUUGACGUUACCUACAGAAGAAGCACCGGCUAACUCCGUGCCAGCAGCCGCGGUAAUACGGAGGGUGCGAGCGUUAAUCGGAAUUACUGGGACGUAAAGCGCAUGCAGGCGGCCUGUUAAGUCAGAUGUGAAAGCCCGGGGCUUAACCUCGGAAUUGCAUUUGAAACUGGCAGGCUAGAGUCUUGUAGAGGGGGGUAGAAUUUCAGGUGUAGCGGUGAAAUGCGUAGAGAUCUGAAGGAAUACCAGU
rnacentral:rRNA from 1 species